rnacentral:sRNA from 1 species
CCGGCCGCCUGCGGGGGACGCAGGAAGUGGCUCCCCCCACACCCCUCACCCCUACCUCACACACGGGUGAGUGCCCCCCUCCCAGCGCUCUGGGGCUGGCUCUGGGGUAACUUCUUGUGUCUUGGGGUUGGUGGGGACAACAGGGUACUUGGUGGUGGACGCUGUAAGUGCCCUGUGUCAGGCGAUGCUCGCUCCUGAGGGUGGAUGAGCCAGGCUGCCCAGGCGCCUUUAGAAAUGCGGGCACCUGCUGGUGUGCGUGAUUCCUCCUGCAUCUCACGUUCCUCCCCUGUGAGCCCCUUGACCUCGCUCCCAUGUCCCUUUGUGUCCCUCCGGCCGGAUCUGAGUGUUGGUGGCCAUCGGCCACAGCCAGGUCCUGACUGUCCAGGCAGCCCAGGGUCCUCUCCGGCCACAGCCUCUCAUAGAAAGCCCCGAGUGAGAGGCAGCAGACGGGGGCGGCCCACUCCGUUUCUCUCCCUGUCCUCAGCUAACACCUCCCCCCGGCCCGUCUCCGGCAUGGAGAGAGAGCGGAAAGUGAGUAUGCGGCUGCACCGCGGGGCCCCCGUCAACAUCUCCUCGUCCGACCUCACUGGCCGACAAGAUACCUCUCGCAUGUCCACCUCACAGAAUAGCAUUCCUUUCGAACACCACGGCAAGUAGCUGCUCGUCUCCCAUCGGAAGGCAGCACUGGAUUCCUGGUCGGGUGGCUUCCAGUGGUCUUCAGUCUGUCGUGCACCGAUGAGAACUCUCCUUAUUGCUGUGAAGGGCAGACAAUGCAUGGCUGAUCUACUCUGUUACCAAUGGCUUUACUAGUGACGCGUCCCCCGGUCUAGGAUCGAAAUGUUAACACCGGGAGCUCUCCAGGCCACUCACCCAGCGACGCUCAUGGGGGAAACAUACUAAACGGACAGACUCCAAGAGCUGCCACCGCUGGGGCUGCACUGCGGCCCCCCACGUGAACUCGGUUGUAACGGGGCUGGGAAGAAAAGCAGAGAGAGAAUUGCAGAGAAUCAGACUCCCUUUCCAGGGCCUCAGCUCCCUCCAGUGGUGGCCGCCCUGUACUCCCUGACGAUUUCCACUGUAACUACCAAUCUUCUACUUGGUUAAGACAGUUUUGUAUCAUUUUGCUA